UACCUGGUUGAUCCUGCCAGUAGUCAUAUGCUGUCUCAAAGA
rnacentral:rRNA from 1 species